rnacentral:rRNA from 1 species
UGAUCUCAAAUCAGGUAGGACUACCCGCUGAACUUAAGCAUAUCAAUAAGCGGAGGAAAAGAAACUAACAAGGAUUCCCCUAGUAACUGCGAGUGAAGCGGGAAAAGCUCAAAUUUAAAAUCUGGCAGUCUUUUGGCUGUCCGAGUUGUAAUCUAGAGAAGUGUUAUCCGCGCUGGACCGUGUACAAGUCUCCUGGAAUGGAGCAUCAUAGAGGGUGAGAAUCCCGUCUUUGACAUGGACUGCCAGGGCUUUGUGAUGCGCUCUCAAAGAGUCGAGUUGUUUGGGAAUGCAGCUCAAAAUGGGUGGUAAAUUCCAUCUAAAGCUAAAUAUUGGCGAGAGACCGAUAGCGAACAAGUACCGUGAGGGAAAGAUGAAAAGAACUUUGGAAAGAGAGUUAAACAGUACGUGAAAUUGCUGAAAGGGAAACGCUUGAAGUCAGUCGCGUUGUCCAGGGAUCAACCUUGCUUUUGCUUGGUGCAUUUUCUGGUUUGACGGGUCAGCAUCAAUUUUGACCAUAUAUUGGAAAAAGAUUGAGGGAAUGUGGCAUCCUUGGAUGUGUUAUAGCCCUUGGUCACAUACAAUGGUUGGGAUUGAGGAACUCAGCACGCCGCAAGGCCGGGUGUCUACACCACGUACGUGCUUAGGAUGC